AGCAGUCAAUCCUCCCACCAACCUUUGAGCACAGUGGCCAAUUUCUGUCAAAUUUCAGAAGGGGUAGCAGUGGUAGAUAUUAAAAUACUAGGACUUCAAGGACAAGGGCUUCAAGGACUCAGUGGGUAGUGAGUGAGAGACAGAGAGAGAGACCUUACAGACUCUGUGCUGAUGAGAAAGCUAAUGAGCUUUCUCCAUUCUAGCCAUUAGAGAAUUCAAAUGGAGCAUGCUGAGGGAGCUACUCUCACUUUCACUUGCAAAUCACCUGCAAAGACAAUGACACCAGCCUGCAAUAGGUGGCUGGUAAUGGACUGCAACAUGGACAUGCACUUCCAAUGAGUUCAGCUGGGCUGUACGGUUUCAACAGGUAACUUAGGGAAGAAAAUGCUGCAAGACCAGGUGCCUGGUUUCCAGCAGGGACAUGAAGACGUUUUCAUUGACUAAUUCUGAAAACAUGUCUUACUGGGUGCAGUGUCACUAACACAGGCGGUCCAGUUGGGGACAAACGUAUAAGGAAUAACUUCUUGAAAAGGUUAAACGAAAAUGUGAUUCAUCUGUGGAUAUUUUUGUCCUGCUGAUAGCUUCAAGAUUCGAAGAGGAACAGCAGCUAUCUGUAAAUUUUCACUCGCUCUUACACGUGAGGUGCUUCAAAAGACACAAGGUGUCACCCUGACAUCUGUCCCCUGGAAAAUACAGCCUUCUCAGCCUGAAAUGCUAUUCCUGUAGUUAUAGAAGAGUUUAGAAUAGCACAAUAUUUAUCUCCAUCCAUUAAGUAUCAUGCCCUUAUUUAAAGAAAGUUUUACAAGUUCAUGAGUAUCAUAAGGAGAGUCUCAAGUCUCAGUUAAAGUCUCAAAUGUUUGUUGCUUAUAUGUAUGGAGCUUCACACUUUGUUCUGAAUUUCUAUAGUAACACAUCAUAUGCAAUAGCAAGACACAGAAUAAAAUAAUCUAGAAGUGAUCUUUUAGCUGUAAUUCCUGAUGCCCUGGCUUUUGGUUGUUCUACAAAUUGUGAAAGGGGAUUUCAGCUUAUAUGUUGUGUAAGUGAUAGGGAUUAAACAUAGUUAAAAUUUCCUCAGAGUGACACAUCAAAGAGAAGCGUUAGUUGUAUAAAUCUGGAUGCUCCAGUUCCAGCAAGGGUAGGAGCCAUAUGUGCCUAUGUAGGUCAGCGAACUCCUGCCACUUCUGCCUGCAGAGCGCUUCAAGCUUUCUCAGACACGCUGGAGGUUGCUCAGCUCCUCCUAAACGUAGGGAGGAUUAUAGGACUUCAUUCACCUUUUGUAAAAAACACGUUCUGUAAGCUGUUGUGAGGCUCAUUGUGCAGAGCUGAUGACCCUGGUCAGCCUUGAUCCCUGCAGGCAUUUCAUAGCAACAUAAUACUGUUUUUAUAUUUACACAGUGCGCUGUCUCACCCUGUUUUGUUUUUUGUUUUUUGUUUUUUUGGAAUGCCUUUUGGACUGCUCAACCAGCUACUCGUGCCCCAAGUAUGCCAGGUAUUUUUUUUCAGAUUGCUGACACAGACACUGUUCCUGCUGAGCCUUACAAGAUUAUAAACCAAAACUUUAGUUCUAGUCCUUAUGGACUAGAAAAAUCUUUUGGCAAAGGGGAAUGUCCUGACAUCCAUCCAGGAUCUAUGUGCAAUAUAAAUUGUCUUUGAGAGUGUUAUUUCAUCCACUUACAUUCAAUUUCCAUUUUCAUGUCUUUCGUUAUAGUCGUAUGAACUCAAAAUGUUUUUCAUCGAUUGUUUGUUUUAACAGUCUGUGGCAGGACAUGCACUUUCUGCAAGAUUGCAGGGUCUUAGGAUCUGCAAGGCUACACAUCAAGUAACAUACAGGGUUUCACACAUCAGCCUCCAUUUUCAAGCACCUGAAUCAAUCACCCAACCUAUGACCAGCUCUCAGAUAAAUGCAGUUUAAAUAUCCUGCAUAAUACCUGAGUCAAACGCAUAUUUUGCCAGGUUGCUCCAUCAGCAUUGUGUUGGCCUUUCUCAGUCACCAGUGUCCGGAGUGACGCCCUGACACCUACAAUGGGAUCACGGUUCAUCAAACACCACGCUGCGGUGUCAAAAGUGGAACAGGAAAGCCACAGACACCAGGGAGUAUUGUCUCAUUCUUCCACGGAAAUGUGUGUUGUGAUUAGGAUUCCCUCUUGUCCCUACACAGCAGCAGAGGCAGUGGGAGUGUCAUGUCAACUGCAUGAUGUGAAGCCAUCUUAGCUUGUAGAGAGGUGUUUACGCACACAGCUACCUAACCAGAUGUCAAAGCAGUGAGUAAUAAGGAGAGACAGCAAGGUACUAAUCAGCUAAUAACUGUGUGCUGCAGUAAUUAGCUUCUGCCGAAAACCAGUUUUCCACAGGCCACAAUUUUAGGAUGGAAAUAAGAGACAGAGUUAAAUGACAAGCACAUAAACAUGCUGUGGUUAACCUUGUCAGUCAGUAGAUGGCUGUAUUGCUUCUAGCCAUCUUCAGGGAAGAAAAUUCCACUUCCACAGCCAGGAAAGAGAGAGCUGCUUCCCAGAGAUUUAAGGAGCCACCGACAGUGCCUGAAGACCUUUGCACUUGGUUGUUUUAAAGUGGUUCAACUUGCACACAAUAUCAUUCCUCUAUUUAUUUUUAUCUAGAUAUUUGUUAGUUGCACAAAAUCUUUUUAAUGCUCUGGUUGAGCUGUCUACCUGUUGCUGUUUUGUAUGCCUUAGCUGAAGGAAUUACCACCUGCUCUUGACAUCUAACUUAAUUUCACAGCAACAGGUUGCAAAGUCACAGAUAUGCCAUUGUGGAAGACCUGGGUAUUUCCACUGCUUCAAAAUGAGCUGUGAGUUUUUUCAGUAAUGCUGUGAGCUUAGAUCUGGUCCGUAUUCACAGUCACUGUCCUCGUUCCUUCCGCUUCUCACCUGCUGGCCUAGCGAUAAUACGUGUGUGUGGCUUCCUGACAGUUUAACACACACCGGUGCUCACACCACCAAAAUACAAUUGUUUCAUUGAUUAGCCCCAGCAAGGAGUUGUAACUAUUCUUUCCUUCCCAAAAAAGCAUCCAAGCCAAAUUGGAAUUGUAGGCAACUGCCUGGGCAGCAGGAGGAAGCUUGCAGUGUUAGGCCCUCUCUAUUCUGCGGAUAAAAAAACAGCAUUUCAGUAACCAAGAAAGUCUAUUCAUGAGUUUUCUCAUGCAUUAAAUGGCCACACAAAAAACUCUCCCCUCUGCCCUAAAAACACAAGGCAGCAUGAUGCCAGAAGAGCUCAGUGGUAGAGGAAUUUGUGGCGGACACAAGGAGAUUGUAUUGGCCACAGUGGAAAGAACUGAAAAAAGAGACACAUUUAUUCUUUGGCAAUUGUGGGCAAGUACUUGCAAAAAAAGCCUCAGAUGUAAAAAGCUCAGGAAAAGACAAAAAAAAAAAAAAAAAAAAAAAAAGUUUCAGAUUUUCAGCUGCAGGUGGAUUUACAUUCAGAAGGUGGUGACAUGACCUGAGUUGUUGGAGUGCUGUCAUGGCACAAGGAAAGCAGCCCGCAGGAUGGAUCUGCAGUCCUCUGAAGGCUUUGGGAACUUUGUUAUGGGUUUCAAUAGGCUGUGGAGUGAUGGAGCUGCCAAAUGUCACGCAUUUUACUGUAGCUAGCAGUGACCUUCUCACGCUGGCCUGGCUCUCAGCUGGAUCCUCAGGCACUCGGUGGUGGGAAAAUGUGGCAGGCUUUUGGCUUGCAGUGCUGUCUUGGGGCUUCUGGAGGCCCCUGUGGCUCUGCCCCUGAGGCAGGUAAUCAAGUCCUGCCUGUAACUGCAGUAUGCCCAGAAGUAGUGGACCCGAUCCAGGUCAAAGGAACCAGGAUAAAGGUUCCCAAGAUGAUGUCUGCAGCCAGUUAUGGCAGCAUUUUCCAACAUACCUCCAACAUUUUCCUCCACCAGUAAAAUAACUUUUACUUGUAGAAAGUCCAAGACUGAGAGUAUCCACUGCUCUCCCCAUGCAGCAGUGCCUUACCCAUGAAGCAACCUCUGAAAUCACCUACAUACUUGGCUCUGGGGGCUCUCUGAUUCCCUAGUGUUGGUUCUGGCAGGCUCAACAAGCACACCUCUCCAUCAGUCCCCUUCAGCACCUGGCCGGGACCCCCUCCAGGACUGCACUGUCCUGCACCCCUGCUCUGCCAUGGCUUAGAUUAAUGUGUCCUGCUCGCUAAUCUGAAAAUUGUUUGCAGGCAGGCAUGUGAGUGCAGGAAGUUUUUUGCAUAAAAGAGCUCACAGGGAGCGGAGCGUGUUUUGGAAGCGCUCUUUCAGCCCCAGGCUGGGUCAUCGUAGAGGAGAAUAAUAGUAACAGAAUCAAAGAAGCAGCACUGCGUGAGGAACAUCUAACGUUUCAGCUCACAGACAAUCAAGGAGUGACUGCACUGCGUGUGAAUGGCCAAGGUCUGGAACAAGACAGGUGGAUUUAGUUUAGUGUAGGUUUCACACUGGAUGGUAAGCAGACUGCAAACAGAUUGAAAUAGCAAGGGAAUUUACCUAAAAAAUGCCACCUUACACAGCUGUGAGGGCAUGCGAAGUUAAAAAUUCACAUUAAAUAAGAGGUCAAGAGAGUUAUUUAACCUUCCUUGGACUGGACACACAUGAAAAACGUGUGUUAGACAGUUACAGGCCUUAAUGAAUGCUGACCCAUUUUGCUGUUUAAAACAUUCUGGAACUUCCAUGGAGACUUAUCUGAUGCCACCUAUAUAUAAUGACCUAGAUUUUAAAAACAGUUGGGAAGCAGACGCCUGGAAAUCUGCUGUGAAUUUUAACAUUUUCCAUACAAAGAUUGAGUGUAAACCUGCAGCUUGUUUUCCCCUUGGAAAGACUAAAAUGCUUUCAGGACUUCUCAGAUGCGUAAUUAGGAUCAUCUUGUCUGGGACAUGAUCGCGAAGUGACAGCAGGGUCAUCCUUUUGCUGCCAGAUUCCCGUCUUAAAGGAGUUCCCGCUCCAGAGAUGCACGGCUGCACGGGGGACCGGGUAACACUUCUGAGCAGCUUUCUGGCCAGUUUAAAACGUAGAGCAUCCCUAUCUUCCACCUGGAAAUAAAGAGCUGCGGGGAUGGAUGCCACGGUCCCAGGAAGGAGAAUCAAACAAAUCUCCCAAUUUGCAAUGGAAUGGAAACACUCAAGUAUGUGAGCACUUCAACCAGAUGGCGGCACAGGCUGGGGCAGGGUAGGAGCUGGACUAAGUGGGCAGAGCUAUACAGUCAGUGACACUGGUUUACAACAUGUGGCCUACAGACUUCUAGGGAUCCACGGAGGACUUCCAAGGGCUGCAGAAGAGGCAACGGUGCUACACCGGAGAUAACUGAAUGGCAAAGGAGGGUGGAUAUUUUAGACAAGCCUACAUCUGCAGGAAGGAAGAGAAUGUGACACCUCUGUAGGAUGUCAGUUUUAAAACAAAUGCAGCAGGAUCCAGUGGCUUUCCAUUUUUAAGCUCAAGUCCUCCUACUGUGACAGAAUUACAAGUGGUAAAUGAAUUACUUGGACAAUCCAAACGGGUAACAAAGAGGGAGCUGAAUAAUGGCUUGAAGACCUUCCAUACUUCAGUCACUCCAGUGGACUAAACGGCUGCUGAGGCCAGGUACCGCGGCGGGCAGUGGAACUCUGCACUCAAAGCUAUUUUCCAUGGCAUAGCCUAGAGCCAACUCUGCAUCUCUGCAGAGGAUGUGACAGCACCAGGCUGCUUUAACUUCUUCUGCCUUCUUUGCUCUCUGUCAGCAAAGAGAAUGAAUUCAGAGUUUUGGACUCUGCAUGCAUUUUAUCCAUAGCAACCACACUUCCCUCAGAUUUGCUAAAAUGCACGCCUUUAAUUUAGAACAAGGAAGGUGGAUCUUCCUGCUGAUGCUCUGCUUCUGAGCUCAUCUGAAAUUUAGAAGUCAGCGCCUUUACUACAUCAGGACUUUCCGAUGGCCUUCCCCAUCUUAGAGCCUCCGAAGUCUGGCUCAGCAACCCACGGCCUUUGCAAGCAAUCACUGGGAAAACACUGAAGACAAAUUGUUGAGUGGUGACUCACUCUACCAUGGUUAGGUUGCUUUAUCAUUUUCUAAUGCUGCUGAUGGGAAGAUAUUUUCUAUUGUGAGAGGUUUGUUUUCCUGCCCCUUUGGAACAAGGAUUUCCUGAGGAGUGACUUCUCCUUACAGCGUGUGAGAUUUCUUGUCUUUUAGCUCCUGGAAGGCUAACUUAAUUAACCAUCACCCAGUUACUUACUACCUUCCUGUUCCCUCUCGCCUUUUCAACACCCACUUUAAAGCAGAGGGCUCCUCACAGGACUCAGACACUGGCAAACAGGGUGUGACUGAGGAAAAGCCAUCAUAAAUCAGCAGCGGAGGAGGAAAUGUGUGGGACUAGGCUGGAGCAACCAGGGGCUGCAUUUAGACAGCAGCGCUGGGCACUGCCCAUGGCGGGGAGCCACACUGCAGGUUCAGCCCUGGCACUGCUGGCCUUCAGCAUCAGCUCCAGCCUGGAACGGCCACCUCCAGUCCCGACGGUCACAGCAGAAGACUUCUUUCCCCUCCAACCAGGAACAGCACUCGGGGCUUCUCAGGAAAGCAGACAGAAGUCAAGGUUUAUCAUCUAUUCUUCUCUUAUUUACAGUCUUUGGUGAGGAGUCCCCUCCCCUGAUGACUGCAGAUUUUAAUAUUUCAUUAGAAAUACAGCUGGCUGCUUUGGGCUGCUUGCAGGCAUAGCUGCACCUGUUAGGCUAGAUGCUUAAUGAAAUAAAAAGGCUUGCUCUGAGGGACACGGUCAGGUUGUCUCCUCAGAGACAGACUGAAUGCUUGAAAGAGUUCAUUAAUGUCAUCCCGUGUGACCUCCUGCGUGACCACCCCUACAGGACUUUCACAAAUGGAUGCUCUAGAGAAGCUCCCCCAAAAAGUAGUGUCUUAAAAAUCUUUCACAGUGUCUUAAAAAUCUGUUAAGAUGCUACAAAACCUAUAGAAAUGCCUCUGGACUGACGGUGAGGGCAGGUACACGUAGGUGCGCGCCUUUAGGUUGGUGGAGUGGAAGAGGUGCCAGCCACAUCGCACAGCUCGCUGUGUUUGUCCCCUUCUCAGCUCCCAAAGGGCUGGGAGAAGCAGCUGUAGUGCAGGGAUGCCAGCCGUCAGCAAAACACAGCCGUUGUUUUAUCAGUUUAGUGCUCUUUAUUUCCAAAUUUAUUUACCAGGGACAUGUGUGGUGUUCAGUGAAAGCUAGUGCGCCGAAGUCUGAAAGACACCCUUCCGUUUGCUGACGUGUUAGUUCUUAUUAAAUAAAAGUGAUCUGUUGUAGCAAAUUGAAGUUUUAUUAAAAAUAAAAUAAUUUUAAAAAGAGGAGGGGAGGAAAGAAAUGAGCAGGAAAACUCCAGAAAAGUGAAAAACCAAAGCGAAAUAACUCCGCAGCUCACACUGGGAGGAGAUAAAAGGGGAAGCAGAUUGACCAUUUUCUAGCUGAUUGCACUGGACAUUGAGUGCCCCGCGGAGGGCAUGGACCCCACAGCACGCAGCUCCUGCCCCAGCAAGAUGUGCACAGAAGGGUAAAUGGUGGCUUUGUGGCCACAUAUCUCAAUGAGCCCAAUUUGUUCUGCAUGCAAGCUGCCGGCCUAGUGUUUGCCAGCUCAGGUGCUGCUAUCGCCUUCACAUUUACGUCAAGAUAUCACUAAUGGCUGGGACCCCGCGGUGAGUGCUGCCAACCUCUGUACCAAGAGGAAUUAAUUGCAGGAUAGGGGCCCACUGUGGAGCAGAUAAAAGGGAUCUAGAAAAGUGACAGAGCCCAGACAGCAUUAGAUAAAUGGUGGUGAGAAAGCCUGCAUUAAUAGCCCUAAUGUAGCCGUGUUUCCUGAAAAAAAGAACAAGAAAUUCCCUAGUG